CAAUAGCGUAUAUUAAAGUUGUUGCGGUUAAAAAGCUCGUAGUUGGAUUUCUGCCGAGGACGACCGGUCCGCCCUCUGGGUGGGUAUCUGGCUCGGCCUGGGCAUCUUCUUGGAGAACGUAGCUGCACUUGACUGUGUGGUGCGGUAUCCAGGACUUUUACUUUGAGGAAAUUAGAGUGUUUCAAGCAGGCUUACGCCUUGAAUACAUUAGCAUGGAAUAAUAAGAUAGGACCUCGGUUCUAUUUUGUUGGUUUCUAGAGCUGGGGUAAUGAUUAAUAGGGAUAGUUGGGGGCAUUCGUAUUUAACUGUCAGAGGUGAAAUUCUUGGAUUUGUUAAAGACGGACUACUGCGAANGNAUUUGCNAAGGAUGUUUNCAUUG
rnacentral:rRNA from 1 species